CACCUCUUCCCAUUCCGAACAGAGAAGUUAAACCUCGCCACGCCGAUGAUACUGCGAAAGUGGAAAAGUAGGUAACCGCCCCCU
rnacentral:rRNA from 1 species